UAGGUGGCAGUGCAGCGCUGUGGUUUCGCCUCGCCGCCCGUGACUCUGAAUUUGCGCGUGCAGCGUCUCAUUGCUUGAGAAGACGCUGACAGAAGAAGCCACAUGUCUGCCUGUGUCACUAAUUUCUAUUUUUCUCAGGUAAUUGAAUGUUUCAUUGGAGCCAUCCUCAAAUCUAAGGAUACUUCUGGCCGACUACACCUCAUGAAUCACUACACCCUGGGUAUCAUUUUGUACGGCACAAGAGAGCAAAUGGUCAGGCAAGGGUUAAAAAAGGUGAGUCUUCUGAGUAACACUCGUCUCACAGGCGGCUCACUUGUUUCACGGGCAGCCACUCAUUAAGAUCAAUGUGAUUUGUACAGACCCUGCACUGGUCCAUAUUGGUCAAAUUAUGGAUAAUUAUGGUUGUAGCUGGUUGUUAACAUCACUACGGUUACAGAAAGGUGUCGUUUGUGUUUCAACAACAUUUCGCUGACGAGCUAUUGAACCGUGAAGUCUGAAUCUUUGAAUAUCUUGCUAACUUUACCGAACUACCGAAUUACCGAGUGCACUUUGACAAAGUCACGGUUAUGUUGUGAAAGAGUAUGGAUUUAAUCCAUGAUAGUAAUGCAAUACUCUAUGGUUUGGUCUGUGAAUUUGUAUUGUUUGUAGGGCUGCAACAACGAAUCGAUAAAAUCGAUUAAAAUCGAUUAUUAAAAGCGUUGGCAACGAAUUUCAUUAUCAAUUCGUCACUCAAUGAGUUGCGGAGAUGCGCGCGGAGCAAAAAUAAAAAUAAAGGCGCCGAGCCGACGUAGAGGAAAGAGCAGCCGGCAGUUGUUGUGAGUCACAUGACGCAGGGAGACACGUCUGUUCGACUAGUCGUCUAAGGCAGUGUUUUUCAACCUUUUUUGCGUCAAGGCACACUUGAGACACACUAAAAAUCUCACGACACACCAACAACCGGAAAUGAUAUGAAAAUCAAUCCCAAACAUAGUUUCAGCAUGAGCAUAAUAUACUCUAAGAAAUCAGGGAAACGCAUAUUCCAUUUGUUGUGUUUUAUUAAACUUAACAUCAUCCUAAUGCCAAGAUGGCACAGACUUAAUGCCCAG
ensembl:lncRNA